AACGAACGCUGGCGGCGUGCCUAACACAUGCAAGUCGUGCGAGAAAGUUCCCUUCGGGGAGCGUGUAAAGCGGCGCACGGGUGAGUAACACGUAGGUAACCUACCCCUCAGUCCGGAAUAACCAGCUGAAAGGCUGGCUAAUGCCGGGUAAGACCACGACCUCUGCGGAGGUCGCGGCCAAAGGUGGCCUCUUCAUGAAAGCUAUCGCUGAGAGAUGGGCCUGCGUACCAUUAGCUAGUUGGUGGGGUAACGGCUCACCAAGGCUCUGAUGGUUAGCUGGUCUGAGAGGAUGACCAGCCACACUGGGACUGAGACACGGCCCAGACUCCUACGGGUGGCAG
rnacentral:rRNA from 1 species